GGCUGAUUGGCUCAAUGGUAGAGCGUCCGCCUCCUAAGCGGAAGGUUGUGGGUUCGAGUCCCAUGUCGGUCG
rfam:Acidomyces richmondensis BFW scaffold_17, whole genome shotgun sequence.